rnacentral:rRNA from 1 species
UACGUAGGGGGCGAGCGUUGUCCGGAUUUAUUGGGCGUAAAGAGCUCGUAGGCGGCUUGGCAAGUCGGGUGUGAAAACUCCAGGCUCAACCUGGAGCCGCCAUCCGAUACUGCCAUGGCUUGAGUCCGGUAGGGGACCGUGGAAUUCCUGGUGUAGCGGUGAAAUGCGCAGAUAUCAGGAGGAACACCGGUGGCGAAGGCGGCGGUCUGGGCCGGUACUGACGCUGAGGAGCGAAAGCGUGGGGAGCAAACAGG